AUCAGAAGACACACGUCACACAGAGCACUGCACACUUCACAGCAUCAGAGGAGACACACGUCACACAGAGCACUACACACUUCACAGCAUCAGAGAAGACACACGUCACACAGAGCACUGCACACUUCACAGCAUCAGAGGAGACACACGUCACACAGAGCACUGCACAUUCACAGCAUCACAGUAACUACAGAUUGGAAAAGGCCUGAUAACUAGUCAACCAAAGUGGAACUACUUUUGAAUAUUCUUUCAUUAAUUGUACUUUUAAUAUUUCCCACCUUUUUAUACCCAUCUUUAUUGGGGUCCUUUCCAUAAAAAUCAAUUUUGGAGUAGAACUGAUUAUCAAUGUGUUCAGAGAAUAAUUCAGAACAAUGACUGCAGAUGCAAAACUUUAGACCAGCCACAGUUAAAACUCAAAGCUUCUAACCAACAA